rnacentral:rRNA from 1 species
AUUGAACGCUGGCGGCAUGCCUUAUACAUGCAAGUCGAACGGUAACAGGCCUUCGGGUGCUGACGAGUGUCGAACGGGGGCGUAAUGCAUCGGCACGUGCCCAGUGGCGGGGGAAAACGCAGCGAAUGCUGUGCCAAUACCGAAUGCGAUCUGAGGUUGAAAGCGGGGGACUUAGCAGCAAUGUUUGGCCUCUCGCCUCUGGAGCGGCCGAUGUCAGAUUAGUUUGUCGGUGGGGUAAAGGCCUACCAAGCCGACGAUCUGUAGCUGGUCUGAGAGGACGACCGGCAAAACGGGGACGGAGACACGGCCCAGACUCCUACGGGAGGCAGCAGUGGGAAAUUUUGGACAUGGGCGCAAGCCUGAUCCAGCAAUGCCGCGUGCGGGAAGAAGGCCUUCGGGUUGUAAACCGCUUUUGUACGGAACGAAAAGGCUCUGGCUAAUACCUGGAGCUGAUGACGGUACCGUAAGAAUAAGCACCGGCUAACUACGUG